rnacentral:rRNA from 1 species
UACGGGGGGGGGCAAGCGUUGUUCGGAAUUACUGGGCGUAAAGGGCUCGUAGGUGGCCAACUAAGUCAGACGUGAAAUCCCCAGGCUCAACCUGGGAACUGCGUCUGAUACUGGAUGGCUUGAAUUCGGGAGAGGGAUGCAGAAUUCCAGGUGUAGCGGUGAAAUGCGUAGAUAUCUGGAGGAAUACCGGUGGCGAAGGCGGCAUCCUGGACCGACAUUGACGCUGAUGAGCGAAAGCUAGGGGAGCAAACGGG